rnacentral:rRNA from 1 species
UACGGAGGAUCCGAGCGUUAUCCGGAUUUAUUGGGUUUAAAGGGUGCGCAGGUUGUUUGAUAAGUCAGUGGUGAAAGUCUGUCGCUUAACGGUAGGAUUGCCAUUGAUACUGUUAGACUUGAAUAUGGAUGAGGUAGGCGGAAUGUGUAGUGUAGCGGUGAAAUGCAUAGAUAUUACACAGAACACCGAUUGCGAAGGCAGCUUACUAAUCCAUCAUUGACGCUGAGGCACGAAAGCGUGGGGAGCAAACAGGA